rnacentral:rRNA from 1 species
GACGAACGCUGGCGGCGUGCCUAAUACAUGCAAGUAGAACGCUGAAGGAGGAGCUUGCUUCUCUGGAUGAGUUGCGAACGGGUGAGUAACGCGUAGGUAACCUGCCUGGUAGCGGGGGAUAACUAUUGGAAACGAUAGCUAAUACCGCAUAAGAGUAGAUGUUGCAUGACAUUUGCUUAAAAGGUGCAAUUGCAUCACUACCAGAUGGACCUGCGUUGUAUUAGCUAGUUGGUGAGGUAACGGCUCACCAAGGCAACGAUACAUAGCCGACCUGAGAGGGUGAUCGGCCACACUGGGACUGAGACACGGCCCAGACUCCUACGGGAGGCAGCAGUAGGGAAUCUUCGGCAAUGGACGGAAGUCUGACCGAGCAACGCCGCGUGAGUGAAGAAGGUUUUCGGAUCGUAAAGCUCUGUUGUAAGAGAAGAACGAGUGUGAGAGUGGAAAGUUCACACUGUGACGGUAUCUACCAGAA